CCCGUACACACGCGUUGUCUCCUACCGUCUGGAAUAAGUUGGUUGUAAGGAUCGCUGUUUCAACGGAAUGGAUAGCCCCCUCCCCCAAUGACCAACCCAUAGAAGUUACAGCCGGACAUACAUUCAAAAGGAAACGAGGUCAUCCCCGUGGAUCACGUACAAAAUCAAAAGUUCAUCUGAUCAAUGAUCGACCAACAUUCAAGCAAAAAUAUUACGACUGUGGCUGUGAUGAUUGUGACUCAUAUGGGCUCAUCCCGGCUGCACGUGCCAAUCAGUAACGUGAAUCUUUACGAACCGGUGCGAUCGUCAGUGUUAAUCGGUCGACGAAUAUACAAGAUUACGCCCCAUCUUUUUGUCAUCCGUUUCAUCCCCACAACCACUAUUGAUGAGGUCUGACCAUUGCUCUUGUCAUUAACCUUUAGAAGUUCAUGCUCCAGAAAUCCGGCCAUCUCAAGGCUCUAGAAAACAUAAACUUAGAACUUGAUACACUAAAAAUGAAUCAUUACUAUUGUCAAGUUUAACAGUUUUAAUUGUAAUAUUUGAGAUUCAAUCCACAGAACCAGUUUACACUU